GGGUAUAUAGCUCAGUUGGUAGAGUGCUUGCCUUGCAUGCACAAGGCCCUGGGAUUGAUCCCCAGCACCCA
rnacentral:tRNA from 1 species